GUGCAGGGAAGAAGGAAGGAGAAAGGAAGGCCCGAAGCAGAAGUGAGAGAGAGGAGCCACAGAGUGCCGGCCACGAGAUAGAGAUUAGCUGUUGACGGCGCCCUUCAAUGGCGACGACCUUCGCACUAUCAAAGCCGCCGCCUGCCUCGUGGCGUGGAUCGAGGUGGCGUAUGACGUGACUACAAGGGUGUGCGCGCGGGGCUUGCGUACCCGGUUUGCCGUGGGUCUAUCGAGUGUUUCGGUAUCGCAUUCCUAACCACCGACAGAGAGAGACUAUAGGCAUGGACACACGCAUGCACACGAAAACGGAUGAUGUUGAUAUGGUGGGAACACAGACGACACAGAGGAAACACCGCGACAAGCUAAGUAUGGAAUUCGAAAACAAGGCUGGCUGAGCCCACGAUGCUUAGGUCACUCCACUCGCCAUGCUGCUACUGUGUCUGGGUGGGUGCAAACAAUCACCUCCGCUAUGCUACGUGCAACCUAGUUCGAGGUGUGGACUGGACUUGCGCAUGAACUGAAGUAUCACAUGGUGUCGUCAACCACACACUCACACACACACAGGGGUCAGGAUUCCAUGUCUCGUGUUUUCCCUGGAGACUGCACACCGAAGGUCAGAGAGAAUGAGCAACGGUGAAGACGAAGAUGAUCGAUGCGCCAUCUGGCGGUAGGCCUUCGACAAGCGUGUGGAAGACACCUGCUGUGAGAAGCAGGUAGGCGGGCGGUUCGUUGUCGGCAAUGGUGUUCAUGAGAAGGUCGAAGAAACGGCUGGCCUUGCUCACUGCGGCAGUCCUCGUCGUCCUCUUCACGUACAACUACGUGUGGAUCGUCAAAGAGUCCGCGGCCCAGCCCUCGCCAGGGAGGCCCUCUCUCGGGCCUCACUGCUGCUAGAAAAUGCUCGAGACAGCCUGCCGCCGCUUGAAAACGCCCACGACGACAGAAGCGCCAACGUCCACGACCGUGAGACCAACGAAAGGUUCAGAGUCGUCAGCACCAAUGACAAUGUUCCUCGUGGCCUGUGCCCGCAGCUCCGGCGUCCAUUGUUGCCACGGGACAACCAGACUUUUCAGACGGUGGACGGUUCGAGAACCUGUACGUCUUCUCGGCGUUUUUGGACGAGGAGGAGCAGGUGGUGCGGGUAGUGGGCUUGGCGGAGUCGGGAGUGAAUGAUCAUCCCUUUGCUUCCUGUGGCACGAUGUCCCCUCUUCCGAUGACAAGCUCGUCG